AGUGAACGCUGGCGGUAGGCCUAACACAUGCAAGUCGAACGGCAGCACAGUAAGAGCUUGCUCUUACGGGUGGCGAGUGGCGGACGGGUGAGGAAUACAUCGGAAUCUACUUUUUCGUGGGGGAUAACGUAGGGAAACUUACGCUAAUACCGCAUACGACCUACGGGUGAAAGCAGGGGAUCUUCGGACCUUGCGCGAUUGAAUGAGCCGAUGUCGGAUUAGCUAGUUGGCGGGGUAAAGGCCCACCAAGGCGACGAUCCGUAGCUGGUCUGAGAGGAUGAUCAGACACACUGGAACUGAGAAACGGUCCAGACUCCUACGGGAGGCAGCAGUGGGGAAUAUUGGACAAUGGGCGAAAGCCUGAUCCAGACAUACCGCGUGGGUGAAGAAGGACUUCGGGUUGUAAAGCCCUUUUGUUGGGAAAGAAAAGAAGCAGGUUAAUACCCCGCUGUUCUGACGGUACCCAAAGAAUAAGCACCGGCUAACUUCGUG
rnacentral:rRNA from 1 species